rnacentral:rRNA from 1 species
GUAGGGAAUCUUCCACAAUGGACGAAAGUCUGAUGGAGCAACGCCGCGUGAAUGAAGAAGGUUCUCGGAUCGUAAAACUCUGUUGUGAGGGAAGAACAAGUACCGGAGUAACUGCCGGUACCUUGACGGUACCUCAUUAGAAAGCCACGGCUAACUACGUGCCAGCAGCCGCGGUAAUACGUAGGUGGCAAGCGUUGUCCGGAAUCAUUGGGCGUAAAGCGCGCGCAGGCGGUCCCUUAAGUCUGAUGUGAAAGCCCACGGCUCAACCGUGGAGGGUCAUUGGAAACUGGGGGACUUGAGUGCAGAAGAGGAAAGCGGAAUUCCAAGUGUAGCGGUGAAAUGCGUAGAGAUUUGGAGGAACACCAGUGGCGAAGGCGGCUUUCUGGUCUGUAACUGACGCUGAGGCGCGAAAGCGUGGGGAGCAAACAGGAUUAGAAACCCGAGUAGUCC